AUAAAGCCAAUUUAAAUGCAUCAUGAAAGAAAAUUAAUUCUGUAGGCUGUAGCCAAAUGUUCAAAACCAUCAUUAACAUGUCACACUGAAAACGUUUUCAUACAAAAAUACACGCAGCAUUUGCACUAAAGGUUCUUUCAGAUCAUUCCAAAAUGUUGGUUUGACAUCAUUCAAUAUUGUUGGGUCUAUUUGAACAUCAGGUUUGGUAAUGUUGACUCAUGUUGGAAGAUGUUAGAUCAGGAUUGUGAGGUUUGACUUUCAAGUUCAAAAUUUUGAUCCAAGAUCGUUCAACAUUCUUGGACCAACAAAAUUUUGGAUGAAGUUAGAAUGGUUUGAAAGUUUUACCAGGCA
rnacentral:lncRNA from 1 species